rnacentral:rRNA from 1 species
GUGAGGAAUAUUGGUCAAUGGACGCGAGUCUGAACCAGCCAAGUAGCGUGAAGGAUGACUGCCCUAUGGGUUGUAAACUUCUUUUAUAAGGGAAUAAAGUGAGGGACGUGUCCCUUUUUGUAUGUACCUUAUGAAUAAGGAUCGGCUAACUCCGUGCCAGCAGCCGCGGUAAUACGGAGGAUCCGAGCGUUAUCCGGAUUUAUUGGGUUUAAAGGGAGCGUAGGUUGACGUAUAAGUCAGCUGUGAAAGUUUACGGCUCAACCGUGAAAUUGCAGUUGAUACUGUAUGUCUUGAGUGUACAAGAGGUGGGCGGAAUUCGUGGUGUAGCGGUGAAAUGCUUAGAUAUCACGAAGAACUCCAAUUGCGAAGGCAGCUCACUGGGGUACAACUGACACUGAGGCUCGAAAGUGUGGGUAUCAAACAGGAUUAGAUACCCCAGUAGUCC